rnacentral:rRNA from 1 species
CCUUGAAAUACCACCCUUUAAUGGCUGGUGUUCUAACGUAGACCCGUAAUCCGGGUUGCGGACAGUGUCUGGUGGGUAGUUUGACUGGGGCGGUCUCCUCCCAAAGAGUAACGGAGGAGCACGAAGGUUGGCUAAUCCUGGUCGGACAUCAGGAGGUUAGUGCAAUGGCAUAAGCCAGCUUGACUGCGAGCGUGACGGCGCGAGCAGGUGCGAAAGCAGGUCAUAGUGAUCCGGUGGUUCUGAAUGGAAGGGCCAUCGCUCAACGGAUAAAAGGUACUCCGGGGAUAACAGGCUGAUACCGCCCAAGAGUUCAUAUCGACGGCGGUGUUUGGCACCUCGAUGUCGGCUCAUCACAUCCUGGGGCUGAAGUAGGUCCCAAGGGUAUGGCUGUUCGCCAUUUAAAGUGGUACGCGAGCUGGGUUUAGAACGUCGUGAGACAGUUCGGUCCCUAUCUGCCGUGGGCGCUGGAGAAUUGAGGGGGGCUGCUCCUAGUACGAGAGGACCGGAGUGGACGCAUCACUGGUGUUCGGGUUGUCAUGCCAAUGGCACUGCCCGGUAGCUAAAUGCGGAAGAGAUAAGUGCUGAAAGCAUCUAAGCACGAAACUUGCCCCGAGAUGAGUUCUCCCUGAGACUUUAAGUCUCCUGAAGGAACGUUAAAGACGAUGACGUUGAUAGGUCGGGUGUGUAAGCGCAGCGAUGCGUUGAGCUAACCGAUACUAAUGAACCGUGAGGCUUAACCUU